GGACUGUGAAAUUGGGACCCAAAACCUCCUGGGCGAGUUAGAUGGACAACGGUGGCUCACAGAAGCCAGAAAACAAUCUGUUAUGCAGAUCCCGGCCCCAACCACUGCUAGCCAGGCUGACGAGGCCCCUGCACAUAAGUGUGAAGAAAUACUGGCAGAAGAGACUGGAAUCUGGCCAGACCUCACAGACCAACCUUGGCCAGGGGCGAUGACCUGGU